UUUUUUGUUGAAAAAAAAUUGCUGUUGCAAAAAUUUGGAAUAGUCGUUUAAAAUUAAUUAAGGUAUCUCCUAUGAUUCAUUUUUAUCAGCAAUUCAAGGUGACUUUAAUAAAACGUUUCCAUUUUUUAGUCCUCUAGCAUCACUUCAGAAAUAAAACUGAGAAUGGAAGUGGGGAAUGUAUCACAGAGACAACAACCCGACCAAAGACCACAGAGGCCACCAAUGGUUCUUCAAACACAGCGAGAAAAACCAGCAUCAAGAGGCGGGCUUCAGCAUGGCACUUAAAAUGUGUGUACUAGUUUAAUGAAAACGGACGUCACACUGAACCCCAAAAUAUUUAAAUGAACAUAAUUUAAAAACAAAUUACCAUGCAAGACUAUUACAGAGGCUCCGGAAUUGGGACAGGCACAAUAAUGAAGCGAGGUUAAUCUUGUUUCUACCUCUAGCUAAUGUAGAAUAAACAAAGACACAGCAAAACGCA
rnacentral:lncRNA from 1 species